CCCUUAGAUGUCCUGGGCCGCACGCGCGUUACACUGAUGCAUUCAACGAGCUUAUAACCUUGGCCGAGAGGCCUGGGCAAUCUUGUUAACGUGCAUCGUGAUAGGGAUAGAUUAUUGAAAUUAUUAAUCUCGAACGAGGAAUUCCUAGUAAACGCAGAUCAUCAAUCUGCAUUGAUUACGUCCCUGCCCUUUGUACACACCGCCCGUCGCACCUACCGAUUGGAUGGUCCGGUGAAGCCUCGGGAUUGUGGUUCUUGCCGCUUUAUUGUGGCGUGACCGCGAGAACUUGUCUAAACCUUAUCAUCUAGAGGAAGGUGAAGUCGUAACA
rnacentral:rRNA from 1 species